GCCUGUCUGGCUCAGAUGGUAAGAGCAUGAGACUCUUGAUCUCGGAGUCAUGAGUUCAAGCCUCAUGUGGGACA
rnacentral:tRNA from 1 species